CCUACGGGAGGCAGCAGUAGGGAAUAUUGCUCAAUGGGGGAAACCCUGAAGCAGCAACGCCGCGUGGAGGAUGAAGGUUUUAGGAUUGUAAACUCCUUUUGUUAGAGAAGAUUAUGACGGUAUCUAACGAAUAAGCACCGGCUAACUCCGUGCCAGCAGCCGCGGUAAUACGGAGGGUGCAAGCGUUACUCGGAAUCACUGGGCGUAAAGAGUGCGUAGGCGGGGUAAUAAGUCAGAUGUGAAAUCCUGUAGCUUAACUACAGAACUGCAUUUGAAACUGGUACUCUGGAGUGUGGGAGAGGUAGGUAGAAUUCUUGGUGUAGGGGUAAAAUGCGUAGAGAUCAAGAGGAAUACUCAUUGCGAAGGCGACCUGCUGGAACAUUACUGACGCUGAUGCACGAAAGCGUGGGGAGCAAACAGGAUUAGAUACCCUUGUAGUC
rnacentral:rRNA from 1 species